CCUACGGGGGGCAGCAGUGGGGAAUAUUGCACAAUGGGGGAAACCCUGAUGCAGCGACGCCGCGUGAGCGAUGAAGUAUUUCGGUAUGUAAAGCUCUAUCAGCAGGGAAGAAAAUGACGGUACCUGACUAAGAAGCCCCGGCUAACUACGUGCCAGCAGCCGCGGUAAUACGUAGGGGGCAAGCGUUAUCCGGAUUUACUGGGUGUAAAGGGAGCGUAGACGGUCCUGCAAGCCAGAUGUGAAAGCCCGGGGCUCAACCCCGGGACUGCAUUUGGAACUGGAAGGCUAGAGUGUCGGAGAGGCAGGCGGAAUUCCUAGUGUAGCGGUGAAAUGCGUAGAUAUUAGGAGGAACACCAGUGGCGAAGGCGGCUUGCUGGACGAUGACUGACGUUGAGGCUCGAAAGCGUGGGGAGCAAACAGGAUUAGAUACCCGAGUAGUC
rnacentral:rRNA from 1 species